UGCUGCUGUGGGAGUCUUCUGAAACACUUGCAAGUUGUGAUGGAAAAAUGAAGCAAUUAAAACAAAAGCCUGCUUGUAGCACUGAGACUGAAGGACACUAGAAUGAUUAAUGGUGGCUGUAGAAGUAACAAGAAAAACCCUUGAGCCUCAUGAGGCUAUUCAUGGGAUUCACAAACAGGAUGGAUUCCUGCAUGUAUCAUAUCACAUCACAGAAAAGAAGAUAGAUCUUCACUCUGUCAGAUAUGAACCCUGCUGAUCCCAAUCUGCAGUGUGACUUCUGAGCUUCACCUAUCUCAUCGCUGUGAAUAUGCUAAAUCAUCCCUAGACUGUGUCUGACUCUCAUUAACUUCACUGGAACUGAUCCUGACCCUGAUUUUUGGCAUGACUUCCUGGCUUGAUUUCCUCAGACCUGCUUCAUCAUCAUAAAAUUGCCUGACGGUCUGGACGUGGCUACCAUCCCUGGGCUGGUCUUUCUUGCCUCGGUUGGGGUCAGUCCUGCUGGCCAUAGUAUCUCCCUCAGCACCACAUACCUUAGGGAGAGCUGGUGCUCACCAUGCCCUGACACUUAAACAGAGGCUGAGAUUCUGCUCUCUCUAAUUUUUUUAUUUAUGGGGUAACAAAAACUACGUUGACUGCCCUGUGUUUUUCUUGGCAAAUAUACCUUUGUUUCAUAAGUCUUCAUUUUGGUUAGGUCGUUGUACAAUGAACCA